ensembl:lncRNA
GGACGCGCUCGGCUACCGCCGUCUAGCAAGUUUGUCUUGGUUUCUGUGUUUGAGAAAAUCCUGAACUUCAGUUCUUGUCAACUCCAUCUCCAAAAGUAUCUGAUUCUCUGAAAGGAACUGUGCCUUCAUCAUUCCAUAUGACCCUGACGGCUGUGCCCUCCUCAGCCAGUGAGAGAACCUGUGACUCCUGGAAAUAAACUUGGCAAGUAAAUGAUGAGAAUACAAGGGUGAACAUCUCUGUUUAUUGAUUGACAAAUGGUGCUGAUGCAAGAUGAAGCACGCUGCAUAUGUCAUUGCCGUUUCUUACAUCAGACUCACAGGUGCCCCACUCUCUCAGAACCCAGAGGAAUUCAGGUGAAGCCUUUGCGAGGUGGAUUAACAGCCCAAAACACAACCUUAUGCCAAGCUCCUACGUCAGAGAAAAUCAUUUCAACCUUCAUCCAGAAAUUAAAUGGUUAUUGAUUGAUAUGGAAGAUACUGUAACCUUUCAGAUUAAAUUAAGAAAUGUUGCUGAACACAAUUAAAGUUUUUCUAAUGUAAAGCAGUUUGCAAAGUGCAUUUUUGACUAAAUUCCAUCUCUGAGGUUAAUUACCAUGUCUAGGGUCCAGGAAUAAUAGAUUAAGUGGAAAGUUGGCUCCAAAAGUUAAAGAAU